CUCGGGUGCGGUCCUCACCUACUUAGCCGUAGAAAUCCUCAUUGCCAUCGUUCAGCACAUGGAACAAAGCCCAUUUUCAUCCAUUGUCCUCGAGGAAAGACAAGGGGAAAGGCAUACAGUGGCUGCAAAUAACAGCUAGCAUCCAGGGUCACUGUGGAUCCUAUUCCCGGAAUACUGGGCAUGAGAUGGGAAUACACCCUUGAGGAGACACCAGUCGAUCGCAGGGCACCAUGUACACCUAGGGGGAAUUAAGAGUGCACCUACUGGCAAGUUUUUGAGAGGAAUAUGCAAAGCAGCCUGGCUGGCAAUGCAAGAGACACCUGAGGGCUAAUGACUCAGUGAAAAUCUCUCACCUUCAUGCCUCCAGUCCCGAACUCAGUCACAUACAAAUGAGAGAAAGGCAGAAGAAGGGGAGCAAAGAACGCUAAAGAGAAGAGAAGGUGAGUGACUCUGUGUACGCUAUAUCUAUAAAUAUUCCCAUGUGUUCUAGAUCUAGCCCUAAAGAGCGUCUCAGUGGUCUUCUUCCC
ensembl:lncRNA